GACGGAGGAUGCAAGCGUUAUCCGGAAUGAUUGGGCGUAAAGCGUCCGCAGGUGGCAGUUCAAGUCUGCUGUCAAAGACCGGGGCUUAACUUCGGAAAGGCAGUGGAAACUGAACAGCUAGAGUAUGGUAGGGGCAGAGGGAAUUCCUGGUGUAGCGGUGAAAUGCGUAGAGAUCAAGGAAGAACAUCGGUGGCGAAGGCGCUCUGCUGGACCAUAACUGACACUCGAGGGACGAAAGCUAGGGGAGCGAAAUGGG
rnacentral:rRNA from 1 species